rnacentral:tRNA from 1 species
GGCGAGAUGGCUCAGUAGGUAAGAGCACUGACUGCUCCUCUGAAGGUCCCGAGUUCAAAUCCCGGCAACCACA